rnacentral:rRNA from 1 species
AUUGAACGCUGGCGGCAGGCCUAACACAUGCAAGUCGAGCGGAGCGGCGGCCGCGUGAGUAUUGCCUAGGAAUCUGCCUGUUAGUGGGGGAUACCGUCCGGAACCGGGCGCUAAUACAGCAUCCUAUCAGCUGAGCCUAGGUCGGAUUAGCUAGUUGGUGGGGUAAAGGCCUACCAAGGCGACGAUCCGUAACUGGUCUGAGAGGAUGAUCAGUCACAAUGGAACUGAGACACGUUCCAGACUCAUACGGGAGGCAGCAGUGGGGAAUAUUGGACAAUGGGCGAAAGCCUGAUCCAGCCAUGCCGCGUGUGUGAAGAAGGUCUUCGGAUUGUAAAGCACUUUAAGUUGGGAGGCGUUACCAACAGAAUAAGCACCGGCUAACUUCGUGCCAGCCGCCGCGGUAAUUC